ACUACAAAUAAUGAAUGACAAUGGGACUUAAUACUGAAAUCUGAUGCUAUGCUGUGAUAUUUAUACAGCUGAUAUUCUGUGU
ensembl:snoRNA SNORD82 Small nucleolar RNA SNORD82